rnacentral:rRNA from 1 species
UCCGUAGGCGGGCGAUUAAGUCAGAGGUGAAAUCCCACAGCUCAACUGUGGAACUGCCUUUGAUACUGGUUGUCUUGAGUUACAGUGAAGUAGAUAGAAUAUGUAGUGUAGCGGUGAAAUGCAUAGAUAUUACAUAGAAUACCGAUUGCGAAGGCAGUCUACUAACUGUUAACUGACGCUAAGGGACGAAAGCAUGGGGAGCGAACAGGAUUAGAUACCCUGGUAGUCC